GACGAACGCUGGCGGCGUGCUUAACACAUGCAAGUCGAACGGUAAGGCCCUUCGGGGUACACGAGUGGCGAACGGGUGAGUAACACGUGGGUGAUCUGCCCUGCACUUCGGGAUAAGCCUGGGAAACUGGGUCUAAUACCGGAUAGGACCAUGGACUUCACGGUUUGUGGUGGAAAGCUUUUUGCGGUGUGGGAUGGGCCCGCGGCCUAUCAGCUUGUUGGUGGGGUAAUGGCCUACCAAGGCGACGACGGGUAGCCGGCCUGAGAGGGUGUCCGGCCACACUGGGACUGAGAUACGGCCCAGACUCCUACGGGAGGCAGCAGUGGGGAAUAUUGCACAAUGGGCGCAAGCCUGAUGCAGCGACGCCGCGUGA
rnacentral:rRNA from 1 species